AUUUUAAAAAUUCCCCUGCUAAUUUUUCGUUUCCCCCCAAAGACCAUGAUUUCAACCAAAUUUGAAAUUUCCUCCACAUCUUUACAACUUCACCGCUCUGCUUUCUCUAGUUGUGUUCUCCACCUCCAAAUGGACCCUCUUAUUCAUCGAUGGUUGCCGAAAUCUAUCACCUGCUAGCGAAUCACCGUCGCCUAACAGUCGGGCAGCCUUUUCGUUUUACUCAAUGAUACUUGUACUAUUCUCUACACCGUCCGACGGACUCCGACCUACAGUUGCUGCUAUGUUACCCAACAUUCCCCUCAUGUUACCCUCACUUUCAUACGGUUAGCUUAUAUUAAGAGGGCUGGCAUGAAAUAUUGGAACAAACAUUUUUUUAUAGACAGGAGCAGGCAUGAAACCUACAAGGUUAAAAGUAGUUUCAUCCAUUGAAUUAUGCUAAUACAAAUUCCCUUCUAACUAACUUUGGUGUGGAAGGCAAGCAGCUAUUAGCGGUUCAUGAUGUACAUGGCUAUUCGAGAAGCCUGGCUUGGUUUGUUGCUAACAUGGGCCUUGCCGUGGGAAAUUGCUUCAAAGAAAAUACGAAAAGUUUUGCCACAAGGUGUCACAUUUGCUCUUGGUUGGGGGGAAGAGUAGAGGAAUACUCGGCUGCAGAUAUGGAUGACAUUCGCGAAGAUUGGUCGACUUAUACGGUUACCUCUAUUGUUAAGUGAAACCAUAUUUUAGGUGUUGACGAAUGUAUUGAUAAACAAUUUUUUUUGUUAACAUUAACAUAUUUGUAAUACACUUGACAUAUGAUUAUGUAAUGGGUUGU